rnacentral:misc_RNA from 1 species
AAAUGCGAUAAGUAAUGUGAAUUGCAGAAUUCAGUGAAUCAUCGAAUCUUUGAACGCACAUUGCACCCGCCAGUAUUCUGGCGGGCAUGCCUGUCCGAGCGUCAUUUCAACCAUCAAGCCCCCGGGCUUGUGUUGGGGACCUGCGGCUGCCCGCAGGCCCUGAAAACCAGUGGCGGGCUCGCUGUCACACCGAGCGUAGUAGCAAUCACCUCGCUCAGGGCGUGCUGCGGGUUCCGGCCGUUAAACAGCCUUACAAAACCCAAGGUUGACCUCGGAUCAGGUAGGAAGACCCGCUGAACUUAAGC